rfam:Gossypium hirsutum cultivar TM-1 chromosome 8, whole genome shotgun sequence
AAUAGAAGAAUGAUAAAUCAGAUUUUUUCUCUUGAUUUUUAACUUUUUUCUAUUGAAAAAAUUUAAAUUCAAUUAAAAAUGUUAAAAAUCAGGAGGAAAAAUAUAAUUUGUCAUUCUCCUAUU